rnacentral:rRNA from 1 species
UACGGAGGAUGCGAGCGUUAUCCGGAUUUAUUGGGUUUAAAGGGUGCGUAGGCGGGCUUUUAAGUCAGCGGUAAAAAUUCGGGGCUCAACCCCGUCCGGCCGUUGAAACUGGGGGUCUUGAGUGGGCGAGAAGAAGGCGGAAUGCGUGGUGUAGCGGUGGAAUGCAUAGAUAUCACGCAGAACCCCGAUUGCGAAGGCAGCCUUCCGGCGCCCUACUGACGCUGAGGCACGAAAGUGCGGGGAUCGAACAGG